UACAGAGGGUGCGAGCGUUAAUCGGAAUUACUGGGCGUAAAGCGCGCGUAGGCGGCUUUUCAAGUCGGAUGUGAAAUCCCCGGGCUUAACUCGGAAAGGUCAACUGAUACUGUGCGACUAGAGUGCGGAAGGGGCAACUGGAAUUCUCGGUGUAGCGGUGAAAUGCGUAGAUAUCGAGAGGAACACCUGCGGCGAAGGCGGGUUGCUGGGCCGACACUGACGCUGAUGCGCGAAAGCCAGGGGAGCGAACGGG
rnacentral:rRNA from 1 species